GGGGAAUAUUGCGCAAUGGCCGAAAGGCUGACGCAGCGACGCCGCGUGGGGGAUGAAGCAUUUCGGUGUGUAAACCCCUGUUGCCCGGGACGAACAAGCAGAUUUUUCUGCUCUGACGGUACCGGGUGAGGAAGCACCGGCUAACUCCGUGCCAGCAGCCGCGGGAAUACGGAGGGUGCGAGCGUUGUCCGGAAUCACUGGGCGUAAAGGGCGCGUAGGCGGUCUGCUAAGCGUGCGGUGAAAGCCCGGGGCUCAACCCCGGGUCUGCCGUGCGAACUGGUGGACUAGAGCACCGUAGAGGCAGGUGGAAUUCCGGGUGUAGCGGUGGAAUGCGUAGAGAUCCGGAAGAACACCGGUGGCGAAGGCGGCCUGCUGGGCAGUAGCUGACGCUGAGGCGCGACAGCGUGGGGAGCAAACA
rnacentral:rRNA from 1 species